UACGUAGGGUGCGAGCGUUGUCCGGAAUUACUGGGCGUAAAGAGCUCGUAGGUGGUUUGUCGCGUUGUUCGUGAAAACCGGGGGCUUAACCCUCGGCGUGCGGGCGAUACGGGCAGACUUGAGUACUGCAGGGGAGACUGGAAUUCCUGGUGUAGCGGUGGAAUGCGCAGAUAUCAGGAGGAACACCGGUGGCGAAGGCAGGUCACUGGGCCGCAACUGACGCUGAGGAGCGAAAGCAUGGGGAGCGAACAGG
rnacentral:rRNA from 1 species